AGCGUAGGCGGAUACAUAAGUCAGUGGUGAAAGCCUUCAGCUUAACUGAAGAACUGCCAUUGAAACUGUGUGUCUCGAGUACGGCUGAGGUGACUGGAAUGUAACAUGUAGCGGUGAAAUGCUUAGAUAUGUUACAGAACACCAAUUGCGAAGGCAGGUCACUAAACCGUAACUGACGCUGAGGCUCGAAAGCGUGGGGAGCAAACA
rnacentral:rRNA from 1 species